rnacentral:rRNA from 1 species
AAGCAGUUAAGUUGAUUUCUUCGGAUUGAUUCUUAACUGACUGAGCGGCGGACGGGUGAGUAACGCGUGGGUGACCUGCCCCGUACCGGGGGAUAACAGCUGGAAACGGCUGCUAAUACCGCAUAAGCGCACAGAGCUGCAUGGCUCGGUGUGAAAAACUCCGGUGGUAUGGGAUGGGCCCGCGUCUGAUUAGGCAGUUGGCGGGGUAACGGCCCACCAAACCGACGAUCAGUAGCCGGCCUGAGAGGGCGACCGGCCACAUUGGGACUGAGACACGGCCCAAACUCCUACGGGAGGCAGCAGUGGGGAAUAUUGCACAAUGGGGGAAACCCUGAUGCAGCGACGCCGCGUGAGCGAAGAAGUAUUUCGGUAUGUAAAGCUCUAUCAGCAGGGAAGAUAAUGACGGUACCUGACUAAGAAGCCCCGGCUAACUACGUGCCAGCAGCCGCGGUAAUACGUAGGGGGCAAGCGUUAUCCGGAUUUACUGGGUGUAAAGGGAGCGUAGACGGCAAGGCAAGUCUGAUGUGAAAACCCAGGGCUUAACCCUGGGACUGCAUUGGAAACUGUCUGGCUCGAGUGCCGGAGAGGUAAGCGGAAUUCCUAGUGUAGCGGUGAAAUGCGUAGAUAUUAGGAAGAACACCAGUGGCGAAGGCGGCUUACUGGACGGUAACUGACGUUGAGGCUCGAAAGCGUGNGGAGCAAACAGGAUUAGAUACCCUGGUAGUCCACNCCGU